CUUUACUUGAAAGUUGCCUGUCCAUUUCCGGGUUGACAGUCAUCACAGUCAGGCCUGUUGCCUGGGCCACGCAUGGGCAUUUGAGCUCACUGAAUUCUCACAUCAGCCCUGUCAGGGCAGGUGUGCUGACUUCUUCUUCCAGGACUUGCUGAGUCUGAAAGGUCACAGAAACGUGGGGAAGGAGAGAGAAGUGCUGGAGAACGUUCCUGAUCUCCUCAGAAGGCAGUUCUCAUGAGCGGGAGCCAUGGCCGACUUUUCUGGCUGGGGAAGGCAGAGGCAAGACUGAAUGGAGGUAUACAUGUGCUGCCUGGGAGACUGUUCUAGAAAAGGUGGCCCCACGACAGACCAGUCAAAGGAAACCCAAGGAGAGUCCUACUUUCCUCCAACAUCAAGAAACAGUCAGACGAAG